AAUUUUGGACAAUGGGGGAAACCCUGAUCCAGCCAUCCCGCGUGUAUGAUGAAGGUCUUCGGGUUGUAAAGUACUUUUGGCAGAGAAGAAAAGGUAUCUCCUAAUACGAGAUACUGCUGACGGUAUCUUCAGAAUAAGACCCGGCUAACUACGUGCCCGCAUCCGCGGUAAUACGUAGGGUGCAAGCGUUAAUCGUAAUUAUUGGGCGUAAAGCGUGUGUAGGCGGUACGGAAAGAAAGAUGUAAAAUCCCAGGGCUCAACCUUGGAACUGCAUUUUUAACUGCCGAGCUAGAGUAUGUCAGAGGGGGGUAGAAUUCCACGUGUAGCAGUGAAAUGCGUAGAUAUGUGGAGGAAUACCGAUGGCGAAGGCAGCCCCCUGGGAUAAUACUGACGCUCAGACACGAAAGCGUGGGGAGCAAAC
rnacentral:rRNA from 1 species